rnacentral:rRNA from 1 species
CGGGGUGAGUAAUGUCUGGGAAACUGCCUGAUGGAGGGGGAUAACUACUGGAAACGGUAGCUAAUACCGCAUAAUGUCUGCGGACCAAAGCGGGGGACCUCCGGGCCUCGCGCCAUCAGAUGAACCCAUAUGGGAUUAGCUUGUAGGUAAGGUAACGGCUUACCUAGGCGACGAUCCCUAGCUGGUCUGAGAGGAUGAUCAGCCACACUGGGACUGAGACACGGCCCAG